rnacentral:rRNA from 1 species
CAGUCGCCGCGGUAAAACGUAGGGUGCGAGCGUUAAUCGGAAUUACUGGGCGUAAAGGGCUCGCAGGCGGUUUCUUAAGUCUGAUGUGAAAGCCCCCGGCUCAACCGGGGAGGGUCAUUGGAAACUGGGAAACUUGAGUGCAGAAGAGGAGAGUGGAAUUCCACGUGUAGCGGUGAAAUGCGUAGAGAUGUGGAGGAACACCAGUGGCGAAGGCGACUCUCUGGUCUGUAACUGACGCUGAGGAGCGAAAGCGUGGGGAGCGAACAGGAUUAGAUACCCCCGUAGUCCCUGUCUCUUAUAU